AUUUAAGUGUUGGCAGUGGAGGGAAGGGUAUCUUGCUGGAGGUUCCUGCCUAUCUGAGGCUUUCUAAGGGGGUCCUUCUGGAGGAGAUGUGAGCACAGCUGCCACGUGAUGCCCUCUGCACAGGUCAGCAUGGUCAGUCCAACCACAGCAAGUCUAUAUGGUUUUGAAAUUCAUAUUUAUUUUUUGUGAUGUAAUGUCACUGAACCAGAUUUGUUGUGAUCCAAACUAAAGAUGGCUCUGCUGCUUAAGCAAGGCUUGCCCAGUCUGUGAGACCUGAGGCCAGGCUCAGAGCUAGCAGGGUACCUUCAAGAACUGUUAUGUAACAAACAGCCAGCCUGUGCCAUGUGCAAGGCGGCAACACUCUAGCCAUUGAAAGACUGAGAAAUUACUCUGGAGCUAUGCGAGACUAAAUAUGAAGAAGAAGCACUGUUGUCUUGGAGAGAGGAUAGAACUGCUUCCUCACCCAUGGCAGAGCUGACCACUCAUUGCCACUGUGUCUGAUAGUGAAAUCACUGGGAAACAGAAGGGAGUUGCUGGAAUAAAAGGGAAAGAAGAAAGCCUAAUGCAGCCGACAGUCAUUGCACCACAAGAGCAAGUUUGCUGAGCUUCCCUGUAAGCCUGGCUGUGCCAGCUCCACUGCUGUCUGUGGAAGCAAUGUCAGAUGACAAAUGUAGCAUAACACAGUGUUGUUUGCUCUGGGCUGUGUACUUCCCGAACGUGAUUAUAUGUCUGUGGGAAACAGGUUCCUUUGGCCUUUCUGGCCAGCUAUGGGGAAGACAAAUGAGAUGUUGGAUAUUAUUUGUAUCAUGAGGUUUCUAGUUCAAAUGUGGCUUUGUUCAGGUGGCUUGUAACUAAAUACUUUUACCAUUUGAUUAGAGCUCAAUUGUUAAAACAAACUAGUCAGUGAAAAAGGAACUUGUGGUUUUACUCCCAUCCUUAGAAGGCAGAUACCCACAUCAUAACAUGACAAAUUGUUCCUGCAGCUUGCCUGUGGUGGGAAGCCCCAGAUAGAAUCAUAGAAUCGAGGUUGGAGAAGACCACUAAGAUCACCUAGUCCAAUCAUCAAUACUUCAUCACCAUGCCCAUUGACCCAUGUCCCUUUGUGCCAUAUCUACACAUUUCUUGAAUACCUACAUGUAGAGAAUUCACCACCUGAUGGGAUGAUGAUACCCAGUCUGGAAUGGGUGCUUGAGAAUGGAGAUAACCAUGACAUCAUACUUACUGAGCACUGCUGUACUGUUUGUGGUUCAGGAUUUAACUUUCCAUUUUUUUCUCUACUCUCAAAUAGGAUCAUUUCUUUUUUGAUGAUUUUCUUCUAAUAAAGAAAAGAAACUG
ensembl:lncRNA